GACCCAGUGGUGAAAGGAAUCACAUCCGCCUUCCUUUUAAAGAGACCUACCAAUCAUCUCAGAAGGAGAUCCCGGUUCAAAUCCGGGUUGGGCCC